rnacentral:rRNA from 1 species
GAUGAACGCUGGCGGCGUGCCUAAUACAUGCAAGUCGAGCGAACAGACGAGGAGCUUGCUCCUUCGACGUUAGCGGCGGACGGGUGUGUCACACGUAGGUAACCUCCCUAUCAGUCUGGGAUAACUUCGGGAAACCGGAGCUAACACCGGAUAAUCUUUCGAACCGCAUGGUUCGAUAGUGAAAGAUGGCUUUGCUGUCACUUAUAGAUGGACCUGCGCCGUAUUAGCUAGUUGGUAAGGUAACGGCUUACCAAGGCAACGAUGCGUAGCCGACCUGAGAGGGUGAUCGGCCACACUGGAACUGAGACACGGUCCAGACUCCUACGGGAGGCAGCAGUAGGGAAUCGUCCGCAAUGGGCGAAAGCCUGACGGAGCAACGCCGCGUGAGUGAGGAAGGUCUUCGGAUCGUAAAACUCUGUUAUUAGGGAAGAACAAACGUGUAAGUAACUGUGCACGUCUUGACGGUACCUAAUCAGAAAGCCACGGCUAACUACGUG